rnacentral:rRNA from 1 species
CAGUCGAACGGAGAUUAUACGCAGAGGCGAUUUCGGUCAAAUCAUGUAAAAUCUUAUAGGCGGACGGGUGAGUAACGCGUGGGUAACCUGCCUUACACUGGGGGAUAACACUUAGAAAUAGGUGCUAAUACCGCAUAAGCGCACGUAGCCGCAUGGAUUUGUGUGAAAAACUCCGGUGGUGUAAGAUGGACCCGCGUCUGAUUAGCUUGUUGGCGGGGUAACGGCCCACCAAGGCGACGAUCAGUAGCCGGCCUGAGAGGGUGGACGGCCACAUUGGGACUGAGACACGGCCCAAACUCCUACGGGAGGCAGCAGUGGGGGAUAUUGGACAAUGGGGGGAACCCUGAUCCAGCGACGCCGCGUGAGUGAAGAAGUAUUUCGGUAUGUAAAGCUCUGUCAGCAGGGAAGAAAGAAAUGACGGUACCUGACCAAGAAGCCCCGGCUAACUACGUGCCAGCAGCCGCGGUAAUACGUAGGGGGCAAGCGUUAUCCGGAAUUACUGGGUGUAAAGGGAGCGUAGACGGUUAAGUAAGUCUGGAGUGAAAGGCCGGGGCCCAACCCCGGGACUGCUCUGGAAACUAUUGAACUUGAGUGCAGGAGAGGUAAGCGGAAUUCCUAGUGUAGCGGUGAAAUGCGUAGAUAUUAGGAGGAACACCAGUGGCGAAGGCGGCUUACUGGACUGUAACUGACGUUGAGGCUCGAAAGCGUGGGGAGCAAACAGGAU